CCUACUUUCCCCUGCAGGGGGGAAUAUUGGACAAUGGUGGCAACCCUGAUCCAGCCAUGCCGCGUGUGUGAAGAAGGCCCUCGGGUUGUAAAGCACUUUCAGUGAGGAAGAACGCCUGGUGGUUAAUACCCAUCAGGAAAGACAUCACUCACAGAAGAAGCACCGGCUAACUCCGUGCCAGCAGCCGCGGUAAUACGGAGGGUGCGAGCGUUAAUCGGAAUUACUGGGCGUAAAGCGCGCGUAGGUGGCUUGAUAAGCCGGUUGUGAAAGCCCCGGGCUCAACCUGGGAACGGCAUCCGGAACUGUCAAGCUAGAGUGCAGGAGAGGAAGGUAGAAUUCCCGGUGUAGCGGUGAAAUGCGUAGAGAUCGGGAGGAAUACCAGUGGCGAAGGCGGCCUUCUGGACUGAAACUGACACUGAGGUGCGAAAGCGUGGGUAGCAAACAGGAUUAGAUACCCCUGUAGUC
rnacentral:rRNA from 1 species